UCUUAUGGAUGAGCAAAGAAAGUGAUUCUCUGAGAUGGAAUUUAUUUCUGGUGAGAAUAUUAUGAA
rnacentral:pre_miRNA from 1 species